UCCUACGGGGCGCAGCAGUGGGGGAUAUUGCACAAUGGGGGGAACCCUGAUGCAGCGACGCCGCGUGGGUGAAGAAGCGCCUCGGCGCGUAAAGCUCUGUCCUCAAGGAAGAUAAUGACGGUACUUGAGGGGGAAGCCCCGGCUAACUACGUGCCAGCAGCCGCGGUAAUACGUAGGGGGCUAGCGUUAUCCGGAAUUACUGGGCGUAAAGGGUGCGUAGGUGGUUUCUUAAGUCAGAGGUGAAAGGCUACGGCUCAACCGUAGUAAGCCUUUGAAACUGGGGAACUUGAGUGCAGGAGAGGAGA
rnacentral:rRNA from 1 species